rnacentral:rRNA from 1 species
CCUACGGGUGGCAGCAGUGGGGAAUAUUGCUCAAUGGGGGAAACCCUGAUGCAGCAACGCCGCGUGAGUGAGGAAGUAUUUCGGUAUGUUAAGCCCUAUCAGCAGGGAAUAGAAAAGAAGGUACUUGCAAAAGAAGCACCGGCUAACUACGUGCAAGCAGCCGCGGUAAUACGUAGGGGGCAAGCGUUAUCCGGAUUUACUGGGUGUAAAGGGAGCGUAGACGGAAAGGCAAGUCAGAAGUGAAAGCCCAAGGCUCAACCACGGUACGGCUUUUGAAACUGUCAAACUAGAGUACGGGAGAGGUAAGUGGAAUGCCUAGUGUAGCGGUGAAAUGCGUAGAUAUUAGGAGGAACACCAGUUGCGAAGGCGUCUUACUGGACCGAAACUGACGUUGAGGCUCGAAAGCGUGGGGAGCAAACAGGAUUAGAUACCCCAGUAGUA